CCUACGGGAGGCAGCAGUGGGGAAUAUUGGACAAUGGGGGGAACCCUGAUCCAGCGACGCCGCGUGAGUGAAGAAGUAUUUCGGUAUGUAAAGCUCUAUCAGCAGGGAAGAAAGAAAUGACGGUACCUGACUAAGAAGCCCCGGCUAACUACGUGCCAGCAGCCGCGGUAAUACGUAGGGGGCAAGCGUUAUCCGGAUUUACUGGGUGUAAAGGGAGCGUAGACGGCGAUGCAAGUCUGAAGUGAAAGGCGGGGGCCCAACCCCCGGACUGCUUUGGAAACUGUAUGGCUGGAGUGCAGGAGAGGUAAGUGGAAUUCCUAGUGUAGCGGUGAAAUGCGUAGAUAUUACGCAGAACCCCGAUUGCGAAGGCAGCAUACCGGUGCACAACUGACGCUCAGGCACGAAAGCGUGGGUAUCGAACAGGAUUAGAUACCCGGGUAGUC
rnacentral:rRNA from 1 species